rnacentral:rRNA from 1 species
UACGAAGGGGGCUAGCGUUGUUCGGAAUUACUGGGCGUAAAGGGCUCGUAGGUGGCCAACUAAGUCAGACGUGAAAAUCCCUCAGCUUAACUGGGGAACUGCCUCUGAUACAGCACGUCUUGAGUCCGAUAGAGGUGGGUGGAAUUCCUAGUGUAGAGGUGAAAUUCGUAGAUAUUAGGAAGAACACCGGUGGCGAAGGCGGCCCACUGGAUCGGUACUGACGCUGAGGUGCGAAAGCGUGGGGAGCAAACAGG